GACGCACGCUGGCGGCGCGCUUAACACAUGCAAGUCGAGCGAAGCGGCGGACGGGUGAGUAACACGUGAGUAACCUGCCUUAGACAUUGGGAUAGCCUCGGGAAACCGGGAUUAAUACCAAAUGGUCUAAGAUGGACUCGCGUCCCAUUAGCUAGUUGGUGGGUAACGGCCCACCAAGGCGACGAUGGGUAGCCGGCCUGGGAGGGUGAACGGACACAGUGGAACUGAGAAACAGUCCAAACUCUACGGGAGGCAGCAGUGGGGAAUAUUGCACAAUGGAGGGAACUCUGAUGCAGCGACGCGGCGUGAACGAAGAAGGCUGUAGAGUCGUAAAGUUCUUUUAUAUGGGAAGCGGUACCAUAAGAAAAAGCCCCGGCUAACUACGGGCCAGCAGCCGCGGUAAUAC
rnacentral:rRNA from 1 species